rnacentral:rRNA from 1 species
GUCUACGGCCAUGCCACCCUGAACGCGCCCGAUCUCGUCUGAUCUCGGAAGCUAAGCAGGGUCGGGCCUGGUUGGUACUUGGAUGGGAGGACUCCCCAUUAGGAUAGUUCUAGAAAUGAUGGGA